CACCGGCACCACCACCUCACCAAUCUGGCUUCCUCCCCAACCGGCGUAGUACGAGCUUCCUGGGGUGGAGCAGGUCGACAUCCCCACGGCGGAGCCGGCGUCGGGUCCCCAUAGCCUGGGAAACAAAUGAGCUGCCGGCUGUGCCAUUGGUCGAGCCGCAUAGUUUCUUCUCGGGGAGUGCUGCUUGCCUUCUCCUCGAGCUCAUCCCCAGGUCUGACGCCCCUCGACGCUGGCCGUCCCGGAGCUUCCCUCGUCGGCCCAGCAUAGGAUCUGCGGGGAGAGCUGCUCCUCGAGGUCAUCCGGCAGGAUUGCUGCCCCUCGAUGCUUGCCGUCCAGGAGCAUCCCUCGUUGGCAUCGCAUAGGUUCUGCUCGUGGAGAGGUGCUCGUCGAACUCAUCCGGAGGUCUGCCGCCCCUCGAUGCUAGCCGUCCAGGAGCAUCCGUACCAUGAAGUGCAGAUGUCAAGGGAGUGCUCGACGCCGCCCAGCCUCACGACGGCCAUGUCGGGCUGGUGGUCGAAUGUGAGGAUGAUGAUUCGGCAUGUUUGAUUAUUCUUUGCAUUUUGAGGUUGGAUUAUUUUAGCAGGGAGUUUGAACAAUUCAGAUUAUGUCUGAAUGCAUAAUCUGAAGUGAACAAGGUGACAUUCUUGUGAUUGGCGACUAGUAUGAUUGCACUUGUUAGCAAGGAUUGUGAUUCUACUUGCCAAAGUGAAAAAAACCAGUCAUAGCUGAGAAUGUUUAGUGAUUAGCUAGUACAUGGUAAAGUUGUUGAUUUAAUUAUUUGCCAUAAUAGGCCAUGGACGAAGUUAUAAUUUGAAGCGUGUUUUAAUUAACACAGCCUUUGCUCAUACAGACAAAGGAGAAGUGUGGUGUACAGGUAGGGAUAUCGAAUGGUGAAACUAUAUACUUAAAAGCAUGGUAGCUUUCCAGCCAACAACAAUUGUUGGGGUAUGGCAAAUACUGGAUCACGACAUUGCAGAAAAGCUAUA